UACGAACCGUACAAACGUUAUUCGGAAUCACUGGGCUUAAAGGGUGCGUAGGCGGCCAUGUAAGUGGGGUGUGAAAUCCCUCGGCUCAACCGAGGAACUGCGCUCCAUACUGCAUGGCUUGAGGGAGACAGGGGUAAGCGGAACUGAUGGUGGAGCGGUGAAAUGCGUUGAUAUCAUCAGGAACACUGGUGGCGAAAGCAGCUUACUGGGUCUCUUCUGACGCUGAGGUACGAAAGCUAGGGGAGCGAACGGG
rnacentral:rRNA from 1 species